UGGUUAUUAGGUUUAAGGGUGGGAGGAGUCGUUGGAGUAUUAAGGUUGGGUGGGGGAGACAUCGUUUGAGAGUAAGGUUUUGGUGGGGGAUGUGCCAUUUUGGAAUUAGGGUUAGGUGUGAGUGGAGUUUUCUGAAACACGACUUCGCUGGGCUCGAGGUCUUGGGAGUUGCCACACUCUAAGCGCGGAUUACGUGGUGUGGUUGUAUUGCAUUCAAAUAGUUAGGUGUUUGGUGUUGGGUUGAGUUAUGUGUUUUGCAAAGAGAGGGAGUGUGUUGUUUUUGAGGAUAGGAGUUCAGAGACAUUGCGAGACCCUUUGAAUGGAGGAAGGAGUGAGACGUGUAAGACAGAGUGAACCAGAACAUCGACGAUAGUUGGAGCUAGUACGCAACGACACUGAUAUGGCAGAGGACUUGGUAUGGUCCGAAAAAACGCAGACCCAACUUUUGGUUCGAACGAUGCUCCAUGAAGUGUUGCCAGUAGGGUUGGAGGCACACCCAGACCUAAUCGCCAGAGUUGAAUUUGCGGUCAUCGCGGUGGUGGUUCGCUUGGUCACACAUGUGUUAGUGUGUCCAUCGUAAGUUUUCCUUGAGUUCGCGAAGGAUGAUGGUGUGAUGUGACAGUAUAUCGGGGAUGGUUGCGUCUACAUGUGGGUCCCAGCCGACCAUACAAAGUGUGGAACAGGGAGGUCCCUAUCGCCGAAUGGUGGGUGGUAUUGUGCCAUAGUUAUGCCAAUGAAGAUAUUGAUACCACUUACGAGGUUGGAUUCUCACAAAACACCUCAGGUAAACUUUGAAUCCUCGGUUAAGCACUUCCACUUGGCCAUCCGUUUGUAGAUGAUAUGGUGAACUGAAUUUUAAUGUAUUGUCUUAUGCUGUGAACAAUUGUCUCCAAAAAGUACUGACGAACAAGGGGUCUCUGUCAGAUACAAUUUUGUGAUUUCCAUACAUUUCGGGAAGGUGACAAAUUAAUCUUCGAGACUUACAGUGAGAAGGCCCUUACCGAUAUGAGGGUUUUGUUACUGCUGUGAAUAGUUUCUUUUUUGUCAAUUUAUUUUGGCAAAAUGUUUUUUUUUGGGAAACAAGGACAAUGGUACUUUUCCUUUUUAUUUAAUUUAACAAUAUUGUGCUUAAUAGUAUCUAUUCAUCAUUCAUUCAUUAUGCAUACUCAUCAUUCUUUUUACAAUCUGAUUUUUUUCAAUAUGUUGGCAUAAUUUUAAAUGUGCUAAACGUUUAGUACGAGCCAGUACAUAGAACAAAAAAUAAAAUGUAUGUAAAAUAAUAAUUUAUAAAUUUUAUCUCAUAUAUUGUUGUGUUCAUUUUACGAUUACACAUUCCAUAUGCAUGCUUUUUUAAAUUUUGUUUACAUUCACUUUUUAUUUUAGAUUCAGUUUUUUUUCCUUAGAUGUUGGGUCUUUUAUUUUAUUUAAGCUUAUUGUCAAUUAUACGUAGUUUUAUUUCAUUCAUUAUUUAUUUGCAUUAUAAGAAUACACACGGAGUUAAAUUUUAUUUGCAUGAUUCCAAUAUAUACUUUUAAAUAUGUUGUUAACACUUUAUCCAAUAUGUACACAAUAUUUUGCAUUUAGUUAUAAUUAUUACUCAUGUGUUACCACAAUAUGACGUGUUAAACCCUAUAAUCCUAUUUCGGUCAAGAAACGUACAUUCAUAUUAUCUAUUAUGUAUACUAAAUUGUUAUUUUCCAUUCUUUUGUUGCACGUUGUUCUUUUAUAAGUAAAUGCAUUCCGAGAACAACAGGAAUGUAACUCAACAUAUUGCACUACAGUCCCUCAAUGCAAAGAACUUUAUUAAUACCUCUCUACAUCUAAUAAUAUAUUUUUGGCAGAGUUUUACUAUGUAAUUGUUCUACAACUGUUUGGUUUUGUUUUUGUGUAAUUGUUUGUACUUUACUUAAUUUUUUUCAUUUCAUUGUUUAUUUAUGUAUUUCCUUCUAUUUUUUUUAAUUAUAGAGAGACCAAUGACCAAAAUAGUGUUAUUCAAGAUUGUUUCAUUUAGUAACGAAUGAAGUUAUAAUGGAGGCUAAAAGCAUUCUUUCCUACUUUAGAAAAAAGGUAAGCAAAGGUAGCAUUUUUUAAUUAUGUUGCUUACUUUUGAUCUUGAAUCUUCUUCGUUGUUCAAGUCUCAUAUUUUGAAGCCAAGAUUUGCUUUCAAGAUAACUCUAAUUGUGUUAAAAAAAGGUUACAAAUCUGUAAAGUUACAGACGUCGUGUGUAAUCAUUGUCAGCUUUGAAACCCUAUGUUGUAGGUUCUUCGCUUUCACAUUGCUAAAAGCGUGUUAAUAAAUUGUUGCCAACUUUUCGGCAAUCCAAAAACAAGAAACUUACUAUAUUUGAAGCCACUCACAUAUGAAACGGUUUUUUUUAUUGAUAAUAGAAAACUUAUGAACAACAAAGAUUACAUAUAUUGCACUCGAAGUCGAGGAGGGUAAAUGUAGGGUAUUUUCAAUGAAAAAGUUUCAAAUUUUUUAUCUUCCCAAAAUUGUAUGUCAAGUUUCCAUUGUUGACCUAAUUUGGUUUAACAUUUUAAUUAUCCUGUUAUGUUAUUUUUUCACGUUUUUUCUUGAGAGUAAUUGCUUCGAUUAUUUAGUAACUAUUUUGUGUAUUUUAUGUGAAAUUGGAAAAUAUGUUGUGACUACAAAAGAGUAUUAAAUUCAACGGAGACGAAUACAAAGUUGACUUUGAACGUUGCCCAAAAUAUGCUAGAACAAAACAAAAAAUACUUAUGUCAACACUAACACAUGGUUCUGAUUCCAUUAGCAUUAUUUUCUAGACGCUUAUGCCUGUCAAACAAUAUUUUCUAGGUUUUAAAAUUUCAACUUUGUUCAAAAUGUGUUAAAAUCCUUCAAAAGUGCUUUCAUGAAUCUCAAAGCGAUCAAGUAUACCAUUUUGGUUAAAACAUACUCUGCAUACUAAUCACCUGCACUGUGAAAAAUAUUUUAAAUUUGAGACUCUGAAAUUGUGGAUGUUUCUUUAUUUAUUUUCAUUGUCAAAAUAUUAAAUAUUAAAUAUUGUAGUAUUUAUAUGUUGAUAGAUGUGAGCUAAUUCCUUAGUUUUGUGUUUCUGUUUGGUGUUUGUUAGUGUCUGGUAUUUGUUACUUUUUGGUAUUUUGUGUUCUUUUGUGGUUGUAUUCACAUUUUGCUUCCCCAUACAAACAAUAUGUCUACAUUGCAAGUUCAUAAACAAAUACAUUCUUUUAACAAUGUUAGUCCUACAAAAGAGAACUGGAGAAUUGUUGUUAGAGUUAUACAUUUGUGGUUUGUUACUAAUCUUGCUAAAUCCGAAAUUCCGUUUUCAAUAGAGUUGACUUUGUAAGACAAAUAGGUAAUAUUAUAUUCAUUGGCACUACUUUGUUCGGUUACAUUUUUUUUUUUUUUGUACUUGACUCAUCCUUACAUGUUUAUGUUUUGUACUUUAAUCAUGGUUUCCUUUGUAUUCUCUUCCAGGGAGUCAGAAUACAUGGAUCAAUCAGGAGGACCUUGAUCUAUAAAUUUCAAAGUGAGAUUGUUGAUGGCAGUGUGUAUUCUUUCCAAUCAUUCAUUGUUGCAUCAAAUGGUGGCUCUUACAGAACACACCACCCUUAUAAAAUCAAUUUUCAGUUUGGAACAAAGAUAACUUCAGUUGAUGCUUAACUGGUACCAAAAUGUAGUCCAAAAUACAUACCUCUUUCUGUCAUUUAUGCUUCUGGUUUUGAAAUUGAUUACUUA
rnacentral:lncRNA from 1 species